CCUAUCAGGAGGGGAAGUAACCCGGCGAAAGUCGGACUAAUACCGCAUAAAACAGGGACACCGCAUGGUGAUAUUUGUUAAAGAAAUUCGCUGAUAGAUGGGCAUGCGUUCCAUUAGGUAGUUGGUGAGGUAACGGCUCACCAAGCCGACGAUGGAUAGGGGAACUGAGAGGUUGGUCCCCCACACUGGUACUGAGACACGGACCAGACUCCUACGGGAGGCAGCAGUGAGGAAUAUUGGUCAAUGGGCGAGAGCCUGAACCAGCCAAGUCGCGUGAGGGAAGAAGGAUCUAUGGUUCGUAAACUUCUUUUGCAGGGGAAUAAAGUGCAGGACGUGUCCUGUUUUGUAUGUACCCUGAGAAUAAGGAUCGGCUAACUCCGUGCCAGCCGCCGC
rnacentral:rRNA from 1 species